rnacentral:rRNA from 1 species
UACGGGGGGGGCGAGCGUUGUUCGGAAUUACUGGGCGUAAAGGGCGCGUAGGCGGGUGGACAAGUCAAUCGUGAAAGCCCACGGCUCAACCGUGGAAUUGCGGGAGAUACUGUCUGUCUUGAGUCCGGGAGAGGAGGGUGGAAUUCCCAGUGUAGCGGUGAAAUGCGUAGAUAUUGGGAGGAACACCGGUGGCGAAGGCGGCUCUCUGGACCGGUACUGACGCUGAGGCGCGAAAGCUAGGGGAGCAAACGGG